ACAUGGCGAAAAAAAGUCAAGGAUGACUUGCCUGAUCUUUUUCACUUCUAUGAUUCAAUUUGAAGUUCUUGCGUUUUGGGUUAUUAUGCAUUUAAAAGGUAUAAUAAUUUGAAAAUCAUGAAUGUUGAAUCUUCCGGUUAGGUUUCAGGCAGUCUCUUUGGCUAUCUUGACAUGCUU
rnacentral:pre_miRNA from 1 species